GCGAAGGAUGAGAAGCUUCGACUAAGGUUCGAUUCGAGCGUCAGCGAGAAAGCGUUGCCGCAGGCAACGACCCGAAGGGCGAAGCGCGCAGCGCUGAGUCAUCCUUCCCCCACCACCA
rnacentral:sRNA from 1 species